GGAUGUGAGGGCGAUCUGGCUGCGACAGCUGUCACCCCAUUGAUCACCAGUGUUGAUCUGGCUGAUCUGGCUGGCGAGGCGGGUGUCCCCUUCCUCCCUCACCGCUCCAUGUGUGUCCUGCCUCCCGAAGCUGCGCGCUUGGUCGAGGAGGACGACCAUCCCCGAAAGAGGAGGACCGGCCUCCAAACAGGCUCUCAAGAAUUACAGUAAAAGCAGUGAGUCCAUUAACGUGAACUUAAAGAAAAAUGUGAAAUACGGGCACAUGGUCUCAGGGUCUUC
rnacentral:sRNA from 1 species